UACAAAGGGGGCUAGCGUUGCUCGGAAUCACUGGGCGUAAAGGGUGCGUAGGCGGGUCUUUAAGUCAGGGGGGAAAUCCUGGAGCUCAACUCCAGAACUGCCUUUGAUACUGAAGAUCUUGAGUUCGGGAGAGGUGAGUGGAACUGCGAGUGUAGAGGUGAAAUUCGUAGAUAUUCGCAAGAACACCAGUGGCGAAGGCGGCUCACUGGCCCGAUACUGACGCUGAGGCACGAAAGCGUGGGGAGCAAACAGG
rnacentral:rRNA from 1 species